CGCGCUGCGGGCCGUGGGCGCUUCGCUUUCGUUUCAGCGGGAAGCGGCGGCUCCUCGCAGCGCUGCGCGGCUCGGCGCUGUCGAGCUGUCGGUGCGCCGCGAGGAAAAGCUCUGGGGCGGCGCGGUGCUGCGCGCAUUUGCGGCGCCUGAUGGGGAGAGGUUUCCUUUACCGAGGGUCACGAGGGCGCGUGUGUAACGUAAACGUUUGAGCUGCGGGGACACAAAGCUGCGUCCGUCUGUGUGCGGCACAGAGCCGAGCUCCUCGGUCAGCUGAAGUCCCGGGCUGUGCUGCAGGGAAACCAAAUCCGUGUGAUGCUGCUGAGCAUAACGACGCGCCAGAUAAAGCUGACAGCUACCAGUGGAUACCCGCUGCUGUCUCACAGUCACGUUCUCAAUGAAUUUCAUGAGCAGGAAACGCCUCCUGGCCGCCUGGCUCAGCUGCCGCCACGGCUUAAAAAGCAAACAAAUGUCCCUGGCAAGAAGAAUUGGCACCGAACAAAGCAAAAAGGACUGAAAAUGAGAAAAGGAUGGGCGAGUUAUGUCAGCAGCCUCAAGGCCAAUUUACUCCUGGUUUGUUUUGUUUUUUACCUCUGCCUUUGCUGCGAAUUGCAGGCGUGCCCAGUAGCAUCUCAAACAGAACUGAAAAGUGAGAAGGCCAACAGAAUGGUACUUGCAGAAUUGCUUUGCAGGGUAUUUGAUUUGUUGUUGGAGUGUGACAGCAGGAUCCUGGCUUUCAGUGAACCAGGUGAGACCAGCAGUGAAAACCAAUGACCACCCUGGCUGGAAAGGGACCAGAGAAGAAUCACACCUGGAGAAAGAGAUCCCAGCCAGCUUUCCAAAGGACAGGAGACACGGAGCUGGUGACAGCCCCUCCUUUAUCCAUGAGCAGUAAUUCAGCUCACAGAAACUCAGGAGCCAAAUGUUUGGAGCAGACAUGUUGCCUGACAGUUGGAACUUGAAGCUUUUAAGCUAGAAAAGCCCAAAUAGACAAAUUAUACUGAUAUGUUCUUUAAAGGCCAAGCAGCUGUUUUAUUAAAAUACUGAAUUUACAUUUAAAAGUCUGAUUCUUUCAAUUAUAAUAAUCUUACUGAAGUGACAUGAAAUUCACGACAAGGAGCUAGCUUUAUUCUGUCCACAUUCUGUCCUCAGUUAUCCACAGACAGUUCUGCUGCUAUUCAAAACCGUGCAAGUUCACACCCACACAGGAGCACAUUUGUCUGGAAAGACAAAUCCCAAGGCAGUUGGUUCUCAUUUUCCCAAGGAAAAACAGCUUUUCAAAUCUCAAUUUCAAACCCAUCCAAAUCUGUGUUCCAAGAAACAGAGAAAGGAUUCCAGAAUAUACCAACUCCCUUAAGUGAAUGACCUUCAAACAACUUGAAGCAGGUUGAAUUUACAUUUUACUUCAAAAAAAGGCAAAGUACAUACAUGAGGAGAAGAUGGGAGGAACAACAGUUACCUGAAACCAGGCUCCUACCAUUUCUGUCUAAGCUUACCAGCUGUGUCUGAAUCAGCAGGGCUCCAGCCCACCCUGGCACACUUGCUUACCAUAGGAACAGGACUGUGUAUCGAGGGAACGUUUUCAAAGUUGAGGCCCAAAUGGAAAGAGUAAGAUAUCAUACACAGUGUAAGUUUAUAGUACACAGCUUUGUUUUUAAAUGACAUAACGCAACAGCAGGAAGGAGAAGUAGUAGUUAACAAUUACUAACACUAGAAUAAUCAAAUUUGUAUGUUAUACAUAUACAGCAACUAACUGCUUUACAAAAAAAGCAAAAUAAUACAAUAUAUUGUCACAUGUAUUUACAGUGUAGUAAAUAUACUUUUCUGUCAAAUUUUACACAAAAAAUAUUUACAGGUGAAUAUACUGCAUUAAAAAAAAUGGUGGGACCAACACUAAAAGUGACUUUCUGUGGUAAGUUUGUUGCAUAACAGUAAGACGUGCUUCAUUACAUUUGUAAAAAUUAAAUUUAGGAUGAAACAGAAAAAGCCCUAAAACCUACAACCCAUUUAGGAAGAGAGCACUGGAAUGCUCCCAAGUGCUCGGUCCACAAUACUUAUUUGAAAGGUUUCCUAUUCCUGGAAACUUCAUGCACAUUAAAGCAGAAACAUUGGCAUAAUUAACAGGUAGGUUAUGUACUAUUCAAAUACUACUGAAUUAUCUUUAAGUCAGGGAAAAUACAAACACAAAAUGUUAAUCAUCUUUACAGUACUUAACUGUAGUUAGUAUGUAAUGGAUAGCAUGUUCUAAAACAGGGGUGUCAAACAUACAGUCCCCAUAGUGUAGCUACGUGGUCCACGUGUUACAAUCAGAUUUUUCUGAAUUUAAGUUUUCAUUCUGAAGUACACAGACUGCAUGGCUGCAGAGCUGAUCCUCUGACCAUGAUGAGGGCAGCCUGUGCAGUGCUGAGCGCCGCCUGAAACAGUGACUGGAAGGUCUGAACUUGGGAGUCUCCCACUUCUUACAUCAGGUGUCAAGCCUGUUCUUGAAGCAUUGUCACCAGCAACUAACUGCUGAUCACUAGCAUCAGUGGAAUGACAGGAUGAGGAGAGGGCUGAAAGAGGCUGGGUUAGAAAUGGAGAGCGGUGCUCACAGGAAUGAACAGAGCAGGACACAGAAUAUGCAGAACAGGAAAAGGGAGCAAAUAAAGGAGGAUAUGAGAAAGAAAACAAAAAAGUAAAGCAAUAGCAAUGGCUAUUGCAGGGAGCAAGUUUUCAUAGUGAUGGAUGACAGUAAGGCACUGACCAACCACAUACUAAUCAGAGUUUACGAAUGAAAGGAAGGCGUUUUCCCCCUUGGUCUAAGCACAAACUUUCUAAACCCUGGUGCUGCUGUGUAUCAGGGCAAACAUAGCCCUGAAUUACAUCUUUGCUGUCGACUGUGGCCACCUAGAGUACUGCAUUCAGGUCUGGGCUCCCCAAAGGCAGAUAUGGGCCUGCUGGAGCAAGUCCAGAAGAGGCCAGGAGGAUGCUCAGAGGAGGGCUGAAGCAGCUCUCCUAUGGAGUCAGGCUGAGGGAGUUGGGCUGUUCAGCCUGGAGAAGGCUCUGGAAGACCUCACAGCGGUCCUUGGGGCUGCAGGAAAGGAAUGCCUGGGAGUAUGAGGGCUUUAAACUAAAAGGGUAGACUUGGACCAGGUAAAAGGAAAAAAUUCCUCACAGUGAGGGUGGUGAGGCCUUGGCACAGGCUGCCCGGAGCAGCUAUGGGUGCUCCAUGCCUGGAGGUGCUGGAGGCCAGGCUGGGUGGGCCCUGGGCAGCCUGUGCUGGUGGGAGGUGCCCCACCAUGGCAGAGGCUGCGACGUGAGCUUUAAGGCCCUUCUAUCCAAACCAUUCUACGGUUCUGUGUCUCCAGUUACACUCAAGCUCAGCUCUUUUUACCGAAAAUGUUUGACACCCCUGCUCUGAAAGUUCGGGUCACCUCACUGAACUACAGAGAGAAAACGUUAAAUGACUCCUCCCCAAGAAACAGAACAAAUUAAACUUUGCCGACUUGUCAUUUCUAGUUCUCACUGAAAAGGUAAUUUUGGUUUCACCAUACUCAUAGCUGUAAGAAUGCAUUAGUUCUUAUUUCAUGAUGCAUUUUUUAUAGAGGCAAUGCAAAAUAUUAGAAGAGUUGCUCUCAAACGCACUCAGUCCAAACAGAGCAGAGCUGGCAGUUCAUCUGGAAUUAUUUUUAAAGAAAAUUUUCUCACAGAGAAACAACUGAACAUUAACUUUUUGUAUCAGUAAAUUACAAGAGAUUCUUUUUUCCUUCCACCUGUGGAGGGAAUAACUCUAUAGGUUUCUACAAUUCAUUGUCUUCAGCAAAACAGAAAGGGCUGGAAAUAGCUUGGUUCAGGAUAAUCAGGUGCAAACCGACAGCGAUAAGAAGCUAUUAGCAAUUUGAUGCACGAGAUGAAAAAGGUUUUUAAAUCAGUGACUCCCAAAAUUACAAAUGCAUAGCAGCUGAAAAACAUGGCACAAGUCACUGCUCUAUUCCUUAAUUUAAGUCUAGCCUUGUAACCCUUCCGUAGAUCUAACAGUUCAGGAAUCACGAUUCUACUGCAGCU